rnacentral:rRNA from 1 species
UACGUAGGGUGCGAGCGUUGUCCGGAAUUAUUGGGCGUAAAGGGCUCGUAGGCGGUUUGUCGCGUCGGGAGUGAAAACCUUGGGCUUAACUCAGGGCUUGCUUUCGAUACGGGCAGACUAGAGGUAUGCAGGGGAGAACGGAAUUCCUGGUGUAGCGGUGAAAUGCGCAGAUAUCGGGAGGAACACCGGUGGCGAAGGCGGUUCUCUGGGCCUGUACUGACGCUGAGGAGCGAAAGCGUGGGGAGCGAACAGG